GACGAACCGUGCGAACGUUAUUCGGAAUCACUGGGCUUAAAGCGCGUGUAGGCGGAUGGGUGCGUCGGCUUCUGAAAGCCCCCGGCUCAACCGGGGAAGUGGGGCCGAAACGACCCGUCUGGAGGGACGUAGGGGGAUCUGGAACUUCCGGUGGAGCGGUGAAAUGCGUUGAGAUCGGAAGGAACGCCCGUGGCGAAAGCGAGAUCCUGGACCGGCAUUGACGCUGAGGAGCGAAAGCCAGGGGAGCAAACGGG
rnacentral:rRNA from 1 species